ACCAACUGUAUAUGUGUGUGUGUGUGUGUGUGUGUGCGCGCGCGCACACACACACACGCACACACACACACACACAGAUUUGCAUUUGCUAU
rnacentral:miRNA from 1 species